rnacentral:tRNA from 2 species
GUACCCGUAGCUCAGUUGGAAGAGUGUCAGCCUCCGAAGCUGAAGGUCGCUGGUUCGAUCCCAGUCGGGUGCG